GGUCCCAUGGGAUAAUUGUUGUCCCAUGGGACAAAAAAAAAUCCCAUGGGAUUAUUAUUAUCCCAUGGGAUU
rnacentral:sRNA from 1 species